UAUAGCAAAGGGUCCAUAUGCUGUGCCAGUGCCAGAGAUGCUGGAACGGGAACCGGGGUGGCUGCUCCUGUGUUUGCUUGGGAACUCGCUCUCCCCUGAGCAACGAGACACCGGGAGGGUGAGCAGGAGCCGGGCAGAUCCGGACAGGCCCGGUCCUGCUGGCCCCGCCGCGGGGAGGGCGGGCCAUCGAACCCGGACUCGCGUCCGCUUGUGAUUUUGGGUGUCAAAAGUGUGAGUCCGGCCUCUGGGGUCCGCAUAGCAACAGCGAGCGUAGGACAGAGGCCAGGUGGGGCAGGGGCGUGGCCGGGUGUUACCAGGCAUGGCAGGUAAGGCGUGGCGUGGUAUGGCGAGGUAGGGCGUGCAGUGGCGAGGUAGGGCGCAGCAUGGCGAGGUAGGGCGCAGCAUGGCGAGGUAGGGCGUGCAGUGGCGAGGUAGGGCGCAGCAUGGUGAGGUAGGGCGCAGCAUGGUGAGGUAGGGCGCAG